GGACAUUCGAAGCAGCAGGUCCCAGGGAGGGAAUGGCAGUCAGUUCAUUGUUGUUCAGUUGCACUUCCUGCAGGUUCAACAGCUCUGCAAAGGCAGAAGGAUCAAUCUCGGUCAACUUGUUGUAGCUCAGGUUUACGUGCCGCAGCCCGGGGGACAGCUCCCGGGGCACCUCGGGCAGCCCCAGCCCGCCGCAGCGCAGCCGCUCCUCGUCGCAGACGCAGCCGUCGGGGCAGGCGGCGGCCGAGCCCAGCAGCACCGCCAGCAGCAGCGGCAGCGCGGAGCCUCCGCCGCUCCGCGACGGCAUCACCGCCAUUUUGUAUCCGGCACCGGCGAAGGUCCGAAGCGGAGCGGAACGCGGUCCCGGCUCGCAGCGCCCCGAGCGCUCAGCGCAGCUCCGCCGCCCGCGCCAUCGCCUCGGCCGCCGGCCCCGCGGGGCGCUCAGGGCAUCCGCCGCGCAGGCGGCGCGGCGCGGAUCCGCGGUCCCUCCGCCGCCGCCACGAGCGCUUUCUCUCGGCUGCCGCCGCCCGGCUCCGGCUCCGGCCCGCCGCCCGCUCGGCACUCCCGCGGGACCCCGCACCCCGUCCCGACCCCGCCGCUCCGCUCGCCGCGGGCCCACG
rnacentral:lncRNA from 1 species